UCCGUAGGCGGGCGACUAAGUCAGAGGUGAAAUCCCACAGCUUAACUGUGGAACUGCCUUUGAUACUGGCUGUCUUGAGUUAUAGUGAAGUAGAUAGAAUAUGUAGUGUAGCGGUGAAAUGCUUAGAUAUUACAUAGAAUACCGAUUGCGAAGGCAGUCUACUAACUAUAUACUGACGCUAAUGGACGAAAGCGUGGGGAGCGAACAGGAUUAGAUACCCUGGUAGUCC
rnacentral:rRNA from 1 species